CCUACGGGAGGCAGCAGUGGGGAAUAUUGCACAAUGGGGGAAACCCUGAUGCAGCGACGCCGCGUGAGUGAAGAAGUAUUUCGGUACGUAAAGCUCUAUCAGCAGGGAAGAAAAUGACGGUACCUGACUAAGAAGCCCCGUCUAACUACGUGCCAGCAGCCGCGGUAAUACGGAGGGGGCAAGCGUUAUCCGGAUUUACUGGGUGUAAAGGGAGCGUAGGCGGGUGCGCAAGUCUGAAGUGAAAUCCGAUGGCUUAACCAUGGAACUGCGUUGGAAACUGUGCGGCGAGAGUGCCGGAGAGGUAAGCGGAAUGCGUAGUGGAGCGGUGAAAGGCGUAGAUAUUAGGAGGAACACCAGUGGCGAAGGCGGCUGACUGGACUGUAACUGACGUUGAGGCGCGAAAGCGUGGGGAGCAAACAGGAUUAGAUACCCGUGUAGUC
rnacentral:rRNA from 1 species